AACGAACGCUGGCGGCAGGCCUAACACAUGCAAGUCGAACGAGAAGCUACCUUCGGGUAGUGGAAAGUGGCAGACGGGUGGGUAACGCGUGGGAACGUGCCUUUCGGUUCGGAAUAACUCAGGGAAACUUGGGCUAAUACCGGAUACGCCCUUCGGGGGAAAGAUUUAUCGCCGAAAGAUCGGCCCGCGUCAGAUUAGCUAGUUGGUGGGGUAAUGGCUCACCCAGGCGACGAUCUGUAGCUGGUCUGAGAGGAUGAUCAACCACACUGGGACUGAGACACGGCCCAGACUCCUACGGGAGGCAGCAGUGGGGAAUAUUGGACAAUGGCGAAAGCCUGAUCCAGCCAUGCCGCGUGGGUGAAGAAGGCCCUGGGGUUGUAAACCCCUUUCAGCGGGGAAGAUAAUGACGGUACCCGCAGAAGAAGCCCCGGCUAACUCCGUGCCAGCAGCCGCGGUAAUACGGAGGGGGCUAGCGUUGUUCGGAAUUACUGGGCGUAAAGCGCGCGUAGGCGGACUUUCAAGUCAGGGGUGAAAUCCCGAGGCUCAACCUCGGAACUGCCUUUGAUACUG
rnacentral:rRNA from 1 species